rfam:Sorghum bicolor cultivar BTx623 chromosome 10, whole genome shotgun sequence.
GUAGUCGGAUUCACAUUAAUCCACAUGUGUUGAGAUGGAUUGGAGUGAAAUUUAAACUAAAUUCUAUCCCAAUCUACACCAACACAUAUGAAUUGAAGUGAAUCCGACA